GUGCUCGCAUCAGCAGCACAUACACUAAAACUGGAACAAUACAGAGAUCAGCAAGGCCCCUAGGAAAUCAAACGACUCGGGAAGAAACUGAAACCCUGAGUCGGUUU
ensembl:snRNA U6 U6 spliceosomal RNA